CGCACUUUUAUCUCUUUUACAAUUCUUGCAGAACGCAAACUGUUCGUUGGCAUGCUAAAUAAGAAGCUGAACGAGAACGACGUGCGUAAGUUAUUCGAAGUUCACGGCGCCAUUGAAGAGUGCACAGUGCUGCGCGAUCAGAACGGCCAGAGCAAGGGUUGUGCCUUUGUCACAUUUGCGACCAAACACGCUGCCAUUUCAGCCAUUAAAGUGACCUUGAGUCAGAACAAAAUCAUGGAGGGCUGCACAUCGCCGCUGGUUGUUAAAUUUGCCGAUACACAAAAGGAGAAGGAGCAGAAGAAGAUACAGCAGAUACAGGCGAAUCUAUGGAAUCUGGCUACCAAUAUUAAUAUACCACUCGGCCAGACGCCCACCACAGUUUCCACACCGAUACUGCCGAACCCACCGCAACAACCGUCGCCGGUAAUGGGCGCCGAUGCUCUGACUCCCGCCAGCAUUCAGUUGCUGCAGCAGCUGCAAACAGUUGGACUGCAGCAACAGCUGCUUCAAGCUCUGACAGGCCUGGGUGCCGCUCAGCAAAAUAAUUCAUCGCAGGACACAACGAACGCCGCUGCUGGUCUAUUGAAUCCGCUUUCUGUACAGAACUUGGCAGCCAUUGCCGCCAUGACGCAACCGAGCCUGACCAAUGCGGCAACUUCGCCAGGCAGCGCACAGUUGACAAAUACAGCGGCACUUUUAUCAGCUCUGAUACGAAAAAAGGCGGCUGCUAAAACAACAGGGUCUGAUCCAAAUCCAUUGGCAUCGGCGUAUAUGUCAACAGCCGCUGGUUUACCGCAAUUUGGAAACACCACCGCACUGUCCACCUCACCGUUAGCCAGCGUUGCGCUGAGCGCCGCUGCGGCCGCUGCUGCGGGCAAGCAGAUUGAAGGUCCUGAAGGCUGCAAUCUGUUUAUCUAUCACUUGCCACAGGAGUUUACCGACACCGAUUUGGCUUCAACUUUCUUGCCAUUCGGGAACGUUAUCUCGGCAAAGGUGUUCAUUGAUAAGCAGACGAGUCUCUCGAAAUGUUUCGGUUUCGUUUCCUUCGAUAAUCCGGAGUCCGCACAGAUGGCCAUUAAGUCAAUGAACGGCUUCCAGGUGGGCACGAAGCGCUUGAAGGUGCAACUGAAGAAGCCCAAGGAUGCAUCCAAACCGUACUAAGGAGGAAGAAAUGCAGGAGCGCUUCAAUAAGAACAGAAAAUAAAGCUUAGAAUGAGAGAGUGUGGGAGAUCAAGAGAAAAACUAGAAUGGAAAAGAAUCCCGCUGAAGGAACAAACUUAACAAACUUAUAUUAACAACAACAACAACUAUAGCUAAAAGAGCAACAAUAAGAAAUGUUUACCCUUGAAAAAAAUAGAUCAACUCGAACUAAAUUGUCAAAUGGAGUAGUCCAAUGAAGAGUUACCCGUGUGGAGCGCGCGCGUUUAAAGUAAACCAAAAAGUCAAGAACCUUACGUUAAUCUAAGUAAACGUUUCUUCGAGUUGCCUAGAAUAUGACUAAUUUAAACCAAUUUCGAAGGCCAAGUAAAGUGAUGCUGCUAACGAGUCAAAAGUUGUUUGCCGUCGUUCUGUAUAGCACUUUGGUCCCAUUUAUAUUGUACAUACUAUGCUGCCCAUCAAAUUGCUGUCAUACAUAGAAAUUCGCAACAAGUGUAAAUUUUUAUAGCCUUGUAUACACGAACUGUUUGUAAAAAAAAACAAAAACAAAAA